UGCCCGGUCGUUCAACGGUACAGGACGCCGCUCUGAUAAGGCGGAAACGAAGGUUCGACUCCUUCUCGGGCAAC
rnacentral:tRNA from 1 species